AUUCUGCCCAAGCGGGGAAGGAUGAGAAGCCUCGACCAAGGUUCGACUCGAGCGCCAGCGAGAGAGCGUUGCCGCAGGCAACGACCCGAAGGGCGAAGCGCGCAGCGCUGAGUAAUCCUUCCCCCACCACCA
rnacentral:sRNA from 1 species